UGGAGAUACAGUAAGAGGAGGAAGAAUAAGAGAGGAACAAAAGAGAUUUCAUUGGUUGAGAAUAUUGACGUCACUGAUUUAAUUUAAAGGGAACCAUGGCUGAAGGCGAGGAAUCUCUGGAAGAAAGUCUCCAGAAGACGAGUUCUUCCUCUUUAAAGAUCGAUCCAGCUUCUCGUUUUAAGACAUGGACUUCAUAUAUCCUGUGAAAUGAAUACCGUGAUAUAGUAGAGUUGUUACUGCAGUCUUAACUUGAUGUAAUCUGGUGGAUAACUAUGCCAACCCAUUCACCUGGACGGUUUAACUUAAUAGUUGUGUUAAUAUAGUAUAAACACGAUGUCCUUUUUAUGAUAAGUCCUAAGAUUAUGAUUUUGAUUCGUCUUCAGAUUCAUCUUCAAAUAUCAGCAACACAGAACAAAUGAUAUGUACAAUAUGCAUAGAGCAACUUUGGAACAUGGUCUUUGAAUGUGGUGGACAACUUUGUCAGUACCAUUUGUGUUGAGAAACUUUAAUAAAAGGAUUAUACAUUGAU